rnacentral:rRNA from 1 species
UACGGAGGGUGCAAGCGUUAUCCGGAUUCACUGGGUUUAAAGGGUGCGUAGGUGGGCUUGUAAGUCAGUGGUGAAAUCUCCGUGCUUAACAUGGAAACUGCCAUUGAUACUAUGGGUCUUGAAUUAUCUGGAGGUUAGCGGAAUAUGUCAUGUAGCGGUGAAAUGCUUAGAUAUGACAUAGAACACCAAUUGCGAAGGCAGCUGGCUACAGGUAUAUUGACACUGAGGCACGAAAGCGUGGGGAUCAAACAGG